rnacentral:misc_RNA from 1 species
AAGUCGUAACAAGGUUUCCGUAGGUGAACCUGCGGAAGGAUCAUUAAUAAAAUUUUAAAUCCUUUUGGAUUUUUUUUUUUUUUUUUUUUUUACAACCUUUCCCUCAGAACGUUAUGUCCUAUCUAUUGGGCUAACGGGUAUGUGUGGAAGAUUUUAACAACAAAUGAGAAAAAGAAUAAGGGUUAAUGGAGGAAAGAUAUGUAUAUAGUUGUGUUUUACAUUAUGUAUAUGUAUUAUUAUAUAUAGUGUGAUAACUUCUAGUAUCUAAUUGACCUUUGUCCUUCUUUCUCAGAAUCCGAAUUGAUAGCUAUUUAAAUAAAAUAUAAAAAAACUUUCAACAACGGAUCUCUUGGUUCUC